UACGUAGGGGGCAAGCGUUGUCCGGAUUUAUUGGGCGUAAAGAGCGUGUAGGCGGUUUGGUAGGUCCGCUGUGAAAACUCGAGGCUCAACCUCGAGACGCCGGUGGAAACCAUCAGGCUAGAGUCCGGAAGAGGAGAGUGGAAUUCCUGGUGUAGCGGUGAAAUGCGCAGAUAUCAGGAAGAACACCCGUGGCUAAGGCGGCUCUCUAGUACGGUACUGACGCUGAGACGCGAAAAGCGUGGGGAGCAAACAGG
rnacentral:rRNA from 1 species